UACAUGCAAGCAGAACGCUGAAGGAGGAGCUUGCUUCUCUGGAUGAGUUGCGAACGGGUGAGUAACGCGUAGGUAACCUGCCUGGUAGCGGGGGAUAACUAUUGGAAACGAUAGCUAAUACCGCAUAACAGUAGAUGUUGCCUGACAUUUGCUUAAAAGGUGCAAUUGCAUCACUACCACAUGGACCUGCGUUGUAUUAGCUAGUUGGUGGGGUAACGGCUCACCAAGGCGACGAUACAUAGCCGACCUGAGAGGGUGAUCGGCCACACUGGGACUGAGACUCGGCCCAGACUCCUACGGGAGGCAGCAGUAGGGAAUCUUCGGCAAUGGACGGAAGUCUGACCGAUCAACGCCGCGUGAGUGAAGAAGGUUUUCGGAUCGUAAAGCUCUGUUGUAAGAGAAGAACGAGUGUGAGAGUGGAAAGUUCACACUGUGACGGUAUCUUACCUUAAAGGGACGGCUAACUACGUGCCAGCAGCCGCGGUAAUACGUAGGUCCCGAGCGUUGUCCGGAUUUAUUGGGCGUAAAGCGAGCGCAGGCGGUUAGAUAAGUCUGAAGUUAAAGGCUGUGGCUUAACCAUAGUACGCUUUGGAAACUGUUUAACUUGAGUGCAAGAGGGGAGAGUGGAAUUCCAUGUGUAGCGGUGAAAUGCGUAGA
rnacentral:rRNA from 1 species